AGAGUUUGAUCAUGGCUCAGGAUGAACGCUAGCGGCAGGCUUAACACAUGCAAGUCGAGGGGUAACAUCGAUGCUUGCAUCAGAUGACGACCGGCGCACGGGUGCGUAACGCGUAUACAAUCUACCAUUAACAGGAGGAUAGCCUUUAGAAAUGAAGAAUAACACUCCAUAGUAACAUAGUCUCGCAUGGGAUUAUGUUUAAAUAUUUAUAGGUUAAUGAUGAGUAUGCGUCCUAUUAGCUAGAUGGUAAGGUAACGGCUUACCAUGGCAACGAUAGGUAGGGGCCCUGAGAGGGGGAUCCCCCACACUGGUACUGAGACACGGACCCGACUCCUACGGGAGGCAGCAGUGAGGAAUAUUGGGCGAUGGAGGCAACUCUGACCCAGCCAUGCCGCGUGCAGGAUGACUGCCCUAUGGGUUGUAAACUGCUUUUAUACAGGAAGAAACACUGGUAUGUAUACCAGCUUGACGGUACUGUAAGAAUAAGGACCGGCUAACUCCGUGCCAGCAGCCGCGGUAAUACGGAGGGUCCAAGCGUUAUCCGGAAUCAUUGGGUUUAAAGGGUUCGUAGGCGGACUAAUAAGUCAGGGGUGAAAUCCCACAGCUCAACUGUGGAACUGCCUUUGAUACUGUUAGUCUUGAAUUAUGUGGAAGUAGAUAGAAUGUGUAGUGUAGCGGUGAAAUGCUUAGAGAUUACACA
rnacentral:rRNA from 1 species